UGGGGAAUCUUGCGCAAUGGCCUGACGGCUGACGCAGCGACGCCGCGUGAGGGAGGACGCCCCUCGGGGUGUAAACCACUGUUGCCCGGGACGAACGGCCUUUUUCGAGAGGCGUGACGGUACCGGGUGAGGAAGCACCGGCCAACUCCGUGCCAGCAGCCGCGGUAAUACGGAGGGUGCGAGCGUUGUCCGGAAUCACUGGGCGUAAAGGGCGCGUAGGCGGUCCGGUAAGCGUGUGGUGAAAGCCCGGGGCUCAACCCCGGGUCGGCCGUGCGAACUGCGGGACUGGAGCACUGUAGAGGCAGGCGGAAUUCCGGGUGUAGCGGUGGAAUGCGUAGAGAUCCGGAAGAACACCGGUGGCGAGGGCGGCCUGCUGGGCAGUAGCUGACGCUGAGGCGCGACAGCGUGGGGAGCAAAC
rnacentral:rRNA from 1 species